rnacentral:rRNA from 1 species
GAUGAACGCUGGCGGCGUGCCUAAUACAUGCAAGUCGAGCGAACAGACCAGGAGCUGUCUCCUCUGACUUUAUCGGCGGACGGGUCAGGAACACGGGGAUGACCUACCUAUACGACUGGGAUAACUUCAGGAGACCGGAUCUACGACCGGAUAAUAUAUUGACCCUCAUUGUUCAAUAGUUAAAGAAGGUUUUUCUUUCGCUUAUAGAUUAAUCAGCCGCGCAUUAGCUAGUUGGUAGGGUAACUGCUUACCCAGGCAACGAUGCGAAGCCGACCUGAGAGGGUGAUCCGACACCCUGGAACUGAGAAACGGCCCCGACUCCUAGAGGGGGAAGCAGUAGGGACUCCUACGGAAGGGGGGAAAGCGUGACGGAGGAAAGCCGCGUGAGUCAUGAAGGUGUUCGGACGGUAAAACGAUGUUAGUAGGGAGGAACAAAUGUGCAAGUAACUAUGAACGUCUUGACGGUACCUAAUCAGAAAGCCACGGCUAACUACGUG